rnacentral:rRNA from 1 species
UGACCUCAAAUCAGGUAGGACUACCCGCCGAACUUAAGCAUAUCAAUAAGCGGAGGAAAAGAAACUAACGAGGAUUCCCCUAGUAACGGCGAGUGAAGCGGGAAGAGCUCAAAUUUGUAAUCUGGCGGCCUUCGGUCGUCCGAGUUGUAGUCUGGAGAAGCGUUUUCCGCGUCGGACCGUGUACAAGUCCCUUGGAACAGGGCGUCGUAGAGGGUGAGAAUCCCGUCUUUGACACGGACUGCCGGCGCUUUGCGAUGCGCUCUCGAAGAGUCGAGUUGUUUGGGAAUGCAGCUCAAAUCGGGUGGUAAAUUCCAUCUAAAGCUAAAUAUUGGCGAAAGACCGAUAGCGAACAAGUACCGUGAGGGAAAGAUGAAAAGCACUUUGGAAAGAGAGUUAAACAGUACGUGAAAUUGUUGAAAGGGAAACGCUUGAAGUCAGUCGCGUCUCCCGGGACUCAGCCUUGCGCCCCUUAACGCUUGGUGUAUUUCCUGGGACGACGGGCCAGCGUCGAUUUCGAUCGUCGGAGAAGGGCCUUUGGGAACGUGGCACCUUCGGGUGUGUUAUAGCCCUGGGUCGUAUGCGACGGUCGGGAUCGAGGAUCGCAGCACGCCCUUUUCGUAAGGGUCGGGGUUCGCCCACGUUAACGUGCUUAGGA